rnacentral:misc_RNA from 1 species
CCUUAUACGAUGAUUAUUCACGAUGAGUGUCCACACAGAUUGAUACGGUUUAUGUAAAGAGACGAUACUGGGUCUGUAGCUCAGGUGGUUAGGGCGUUCGCCUGAUAAGCGAGAGGUCGGUGGUUCAAGUCCACUCAGACCCACCAAUUUUCUUCCCGGGAGAUUGGCAGGAGUAUCGACACCUUGAUGGGGCUAUAGCUCAGCUGGGAGAGCGCCUGCCUUGCACGCAGGAGGUCAGCAGUUCGAUCCUGCUUAGCUCCACCAUCUUUAAGCAUUCUUACGAGUGUGUUUAAAAAUGGUUCUUUAAUGAAUCUAGCUCUUUAACAAUUUGGAAAGCUGACAAAGUAAUCUUUAUGAUUACUUGUAAAGUUCUCAAAGUAUUCAUGUAUUUGAAUACAACUAAUAACACAUUCAAGUGUUCUUGGCUUUUUGUUUUCACUUUUUAUAAAAAAGUAAAUAAAAAGAUAUUUGAGUCCGGCAAAAUCGAAUGUCUCUCGCUCAUUCAAAUAAUGAGAGACAACUUUGGUUGUUUAACGUCAAUUCGAAACUCCUUCGGGUUGUAU